CUCGGGCCUUGUACACACCGCCCGUCACACCACGAAAGUCGGCAAUACCCGAAGCCGGUGGCCCAACCCGCAAGGGAGGGAGCCGUCGAAGGUAGGGUCGAUGAUUGGGGUG
rnacentral:rRNA from 1 species